rnacentral:rRNA from 1 species
ACGUUACCCACAGAAGAAGCACCGGCUAACUCUGUGCCAGCAGCCGCGGUAAUACAGAGGGUGCAAGCGUUAAUCGGAAUUACUGGGCGUAAAGGGUGCGUAGGUGGUUUUUUAAGUCAGAUGUGAAAUCCCUGGGCUCAACCUAGGAAUUGCAUUUGAUACUGAAUAACUUGAGUAUGGUAGAGGGAAGUGGAAUUUCCAGUGUAGCGGUGAAAUGCGUAGAUAUUGGAAGGAACAUCAGUGGCGAAGGCGACUUCCUGGACCAUUACUGACACUGAGGCACGAAAGCGUGGGGAGCGAACAGGAUUAGAUACCCUGGUAGUCCACGCCGUAAACGAUGAGAACUAGAUGUUAGGGGGCUUAGACCUCUUAGUAUCGCAGCAAACGCGUUAAGUUCUCCGCCUGGGGAGUACGGCCGCAAGGUUAAAACUCAAAUGAAUUGACGGGGGCCCGCACAAGCGGUGGAGCAUGUGGUUUAAUUCGAUGCAACGCGAAGAACCUUACCUACCUUUGAAUCCACGGAAUCUUGCAGAAAUGUGAGAGUGCCUUC